AAAAAAUGAAGACUACGAGGAAAGAAGUUUAUAACCUUGCGGAUAAUGGUAAUAAAAAGAGUUUCGGCAUUUUAACCCUAUGGACAUAGGGCUUAUAUCUCCUGCAAAGAGGCACGGUGUGUGUCCACUAUAUGCUCUAUGUAUGAGUUACUGCGAGCAGUAUAUGUACCCUCUAUAUGCGCUAUGGCAAGUGGCUGUGAGCAGUAUAUGUAACCACUAUACGCGAUGACGAGUUGC